ACCGUGCAAAGGUAGCAUAAUCACUUGCCUAUUAAUUGUAGGCUAGAAUGAAAGGAUAAACGAGAAUACACCUGUCUCCUUUAAGCCCGUAAAAAUUUAUCUUUAAGUGAAGAAGCUUAAAUAAAAGUGCAGGACAAGAAGACCCUAUAGAGCUUUACCUAAAAGGUACAUAAACAGUAACUGACGGUUCGGUUGGGGCGACCAGGGGACACUUAUCACCCCUAAAAUAUAAGAUAUACUAAUCCCACUAAAGAUCCUUUUUCAAGAUCAAAGAAUCAAGCUACCUUAGGGAUAACAGGCUAAUCCUCUUAGAGAGCCCUUAUCGACAAGAGGGG
rnacentral:rRNA from 1 species